GCAAGGUUGGUGGAUUAUCAGUUGGUAAAGCAUGAGACUCUUGAUCUCAGGGUCGUGGGAUAGAGCCCCACACUGGGCA